rnacentral:tRNA from 1 species
GGCCUCGUAGCUCAACUGUAUAGAGCAUCAGAUUACGGCUCUGAAGGUUUCAGGUUAGAAUCCUGACGAGGUCACCG